rnacentral:rRNA from 1 species
AGGACGAACGCUGGCGGCGUGCUUAACACAUGCAAGUCGAACGAUGAUGCUGCAACUUGUUGUGGUGGAUUAGUGGCGAACGGGUGAGUAACACGUGAGUAACCUGCCUUUCACUCUGGGAUAAGCCUUGGAAACGAGGUCUAAUACUGGAUAUGACUUCUUGCCGCAUGGUGGGGGGUGGAAAGCCUUCGGGUGGUGGAUGAUGGACUCGCGGACUAUCAGCUUGUUGGUGGGGUUGUGGCCUACCAAGGCAAUGACGGUUAGCCGGCCUGAGAGGGUGACCGGCCACAUUGGGACUGAGAUACGGCCCAAACUCCUACGGGAGGCAGCAGUGGGGAAUAUUGCACAAUGGGCGAAAGCCUGAUGCAGCGACGCCGCGUGGGGGAUGAAGGCCUUGGGUUGUAAACUCCUUCGCUCGUGACGAAGCCUCGUUCGGGGGUGACGGUAGCGGGAGAGAAGCACCGGCUAACUACGUGCCAGCAGCCGCGGUAA